rnacentral:lncRNA from 1 species
GGAAAAUCUAUUAUUUUCUUGUCUGAAUACUGUGUACUGCCUUUCACUACCUCUAUCUAGGGAAUGUGGAAUAUGUAAGAAAUAAAAUUAAACUUCUCUUUCUGAAACCAGCCCGCAGAGUGGUUGAGACAGGCCUGUGUGCCCCUUUCUUCCUGCUGUGUAACGUUACUUUCUGGGAUAUCCUAUUCUGUCCUCAUGUCAGAAAAUGUCAGCAUGGCUCUCCAAUAGCUAGACAGGCUGAACCCCUUCUAUGGGAACUGAGAGCAAAUAAAGUAUUAGUCUAAGGGGUUCAUCUGACAGUUUGGCAAAACCUUAGAAGAUGACUCCCCGGUCCCUAGAGGAGUGGAGCUCAGCCAUGGCUUGGCAAGGUGCUCUUGGCAGUGAGCUCCUCUCAUGAAGUCCUGCCUUUGGUUUCCCUAUGCAUGCCCCUUGGAGGAUCCUGGCUCUCUUGGACUUCAUGGAAUCAGGGAAACCCCCACUCCGGAGACCACAAGGCUCUGCCUUUCUUUCUUCUUUCUCUUGCGUUGAUAUGAUGGAGGUUGACAAGCCCAAAGUUAAUACAUUUGCAACAUUGUGGAAGCUGUCACCCAGGCUGCAUUGGGACUGAGGGCUAAUUAAUUAGCUGUAGGUUAAAAUAAAAGGACCCAAUCUCUCUUACAGAGCCUUCUGGAGAACAUCAGUAAUGUUGUGAUUAAAGGAUUACAAGUAAAAACUAGAAACAACAAGAGGAAAAUAUACAUGAAUAUUAAUUUGAUCUGGGCAUGAGUAAGAGGUUCUUAAGAGCGACAGAGACUGGCUAGUGUCCACUGUUACGCCCAUUCUGUGAGGCCACUUCUUCUGGACCUGGGUCUGGAGUCGGGCUGAUUACAUUUCAAGUUCCAGGUAACGCUUAUGCUGUCCUUUCAAGAGCCAUACUUUGAUGGGGAGGAUAGAUGAUCAAGCCUACAAGACCACAAAGGUCCACUUCACUUAGAAGAACAUGGCAGAAGAAACACAGUGGGCCAAGAGAGC